UCAAGGUUGACCUCGGAUCAGGUAGGGAUACCCGCUGAACUUAAGCAUAUCAAUAAGCGGAGGAAG
rnacentral:rRNA from 1 species